UUACCACAGCAUAAAUAAGAAAAAGCAACCAGUUAUAUGGAAAAAAAAUCAUGAAAGUACUCGGCAGGUGUUAAACCGAGCUCUUCCCUCCCACUGGAACACUUGUUCCACCUUGGCAAUCAAAACAUGUUCAUAUUGCCCCCAUACCUACCUCUUCUUUAGCACGUCACCCUCCUAACCUUCAAUUAAAUUUCCUUAUGGAGAAGACAUUUUAAUUCAUAUCCAUCGUUAUAAUUUUAUUUUUAAUUCAAGGUUCUUAAUUUUUAAUACAAAAAAUUGUGGAUAAUUUUAACUUUGAAAUUCACAUUGUUAAAAAGGUUAUUACUAGUGCAAAGAGUUUUUACUAGUGUAAAAUAUUCGAAAAUCGUAAGUAUUAUAAUUUUGAACGUUGUACAUAAUAACGAAACUUAGGUAAGUACCACUUCUGGGUAUUUAUUUAAUAAAUUUAAUAUAAGAUGGCUGCUCUUCUUUCUUUUCCAGGGAUGCUGAACAGAGGUCCUAUUAUGGCGGUGAUUGCUGGCAAUGGAGCUUAUUAUCCGUCAGUUAAUCUCUGGAGUAAAAGCAAAGGGACAACAUUAAGCUUUUGUGUAUGGGAGCAACUAACUCCUGGUGGUUAAUAACCUGUCCUACCUGCCUAGAGAGAGCUCUAUCUAUUCGGAGAGGAUAUGAGAAUAAAAAUUCGAAUAAUAAAGAAAACAAAAGGAAAUGUCUACCCUUAAGGCCACGUAUUUUCUAUACCCUUUUAUUCUAGGUUUAUGGGCAGUCCGUCCGUCGCAAGUAAUUAUCAAUAAGUUUGGAGGUACCUCAGCACCGCGGAAUGCCUGGUGCUCAACAGCGUAUCCAACGAUGGGCAGAGGAGUCGGGAUCGGUGGUCCAAAUAUCGUUAUCGAUGCUGGCAAAGGUGUUUGGUGCUGGAUUACUUCCUUUUGUUCAAAAGUUAUUGAGGUUUUUUUUUCUCUUUUCGUGCAAUAAAGGCAAU